CUUCUAAACACACUGUCUGGGAUUUUCAAAGAAGCCUAAGGGUUUGGGGUUCAUAGUCACCUGCUGAAUUUCAGUGAGACUUAUUGCUUAACACUGUUAUGAGAGAUACCAUUUGAAUCAAAACCAUAGAUCCAGAUAACCCCAGACCUACCCCUAUAUAGAGAAGCUGAGGAUUGUACUAAAGUAGGAAAUAAAUUCUAUUAACCAGAACAGUGACUUCAUGCAAGAUUUGCCAUUUAUGAGGCUUGCAAGAGUGCUGCCAAGUAAAUGAGGUGUAGGUGUCAGCUUUGCUCAGAAAGAUGAGAUGGGGCAAGUGCUGGAAGGACCAACUGGGGCUCAUAUAAGAGUAAGGAAGGUAAAGCUGGAGUGAACUGUUUCUUCAUAAAAGUGAUCCCAAAAAACGGGUGUGACAAAUCUCCAAAGUUUGGAGCAGGUAGUUUAACUUAUGCUUUGCCCAUCAGCAUGGCCCAAGAUUUGGGAUGGAGAGCAAAGAUGGAGGGGAUCCACCUAUUCCCUCUUUUAGCACUGAUUCCACUGUCCCUGAGGAUUCAUAUUACAAAACCAAACUAGGAAAAGCCCAAGAUUAGAGACAAAAGAAAAUAAAGGAUUCUUAAACCCUAGCGAGCGAGCAGCAGAAAGCGGAGCUGAGCAGCCAUGUUUGAUUUUCUCUGACCAGUGAAAUGCGAAAAGCUAUUUAACAGAAAAGUAAAUGUGAUUUAUAAAAUACUUUGUAAGGAGUUAUUAGUAACCCAGGAAACCAUUUUAUUUUUAAGUACUUAGACCUUGGUCCACCAAAUACUUACACAUGCUUGGCUUUAAUGUUGUAAGGAGUCCCAUGUGCUUAAAGUUAAGAAGAUAAAUGCCUGUGGGCAUAGGGCUUACAAACCAAUGAUAUAGGUGCCUUAGAAACUUUGUAGAUUUUAUGGAUACAUAAAUCAAAGAAGUGUGCAUCAAGAUAAAAAUAAAGGUUCAUAAAUUAUGAAAGAACAAAAUAAAUGUAUCCCACACAACUCUCCUCUGAAUGUAUACAACUGCUACGUACCAGCCAACUCCCAUUACCUGGACCAUCAAUGGAAAUUUGAAAUUAACAUGUGUGGGAUAGAAAACUCGAACCACUGCUGCAUUACCAAUUGCAGUUUUCCUUUUUCUACUGACUUCUGCUGCUAAUAUCCACCUGAUGUUGCAUAUUUAAUUAGAUCAUGGUGUCAUAAAGUACAAUUAUCCUUCCACCUCUCCAGAUGACUUUGAUUUUUUUUUUAAAGGAAAAAACUUCACCUGAAGCAAUCUUUGAUGCUCCCACUGAAUACGUUAAACAAAAUUUAACUUUCUACUCUAUUUUGUUGGAGCUGGCAAAUGAAUCACAAUUUGAUUGUUGCAGGAUAACAAGUGCAAGGGGCUAGAAACUCCUGCUCUGGGGACAAAGGGGCAGCAAAGGAAUGCCAGAGGUCUGGGCAAGUGGCCCAGGGAGAGCCAGAAUCUGAGAGAAUUUACCUGCCACAGGUGCAGCAGCUGGAAGCAUGGAGCAGUGGCCAGCAUUGCCCAUGUGGUUUUUGAGCACAUUGUUGAUGCAGCUGGGACGGCGCAGAGAUGUGAUGUCAUUAGCCCGCGUCAGAGACUGACUACAAGAGCUAGCACAGAGCAGCAAAAAGGAGGGGAGCAGUGAGGCAGCUGCAAGCUCUCAGGUGGCACUCCCAGGCUCACACUGCACUGGUUCCACAGAGGAGAUACCCGGAGAGGUAUGUCUCCUAUCCUGACACCGAUGCCACCCCAGAGGAGGAAGCACCGAGGAUUUGAAGGCGCAGUGACCUACGGGAACAUGCUACCUGGAUAUUGGGCCCAGGUGAACUAAUAUAGACAGAAAGUGGGUACUGUCUUGACUUUAUACACAAUGUAUCAGCACAGCUAAGCUACCCUGAGGGUGAAGCAUCACAGUCUAGCUGCUAUUCCAGGCCAGGAGGGUAUUAUGUGUCACAGGACUGGUUUCUCUGACAAACAUCUUCCUAUGAUUGACUUUGAUGUGCUCAAUACAUUGGAUAAUCAAUCAGAUAACCCAAAUGGAAUGAAACAGCAAUAGAGGGAGUUUUUUGUCACUUCAUGACUGCCAUCUUGGAGACUAAGGAUUUUAAAGGGAGAUGAUGAACAGAGUAAAUGGCUUACCAGGAGUCACACCAGAAGUGUGCAUCUGUACCAGGAACUGAGCCCAAGUCUCUGACAUCACAGCUGAGUGCUUUGCCUUAUCUAUCAGACCAUCUGGCCUACCCUGCUACUUAAUGUCAAAGCAUUCCCUGUACUUUCCAAUUUAAAAUAAUAUCUUUGUAUUCUAUAAAUGGUAUUGAUUGAUCUGGUUAUAUACAAUUAAAUGAAUUCUCAACAAAGCAGUAAAGCUUACUAAAAAAAUACAUUGUCAAUGCAACAGUGAUUAUACAAUCAAAAAAAUAUUCACUCAAACAGAUCUGUUGUAUACAUACUUUUUUUUCCUUACAAAACCUAGAGAGCCAGCUUUUGUUCAAACAAUACCAUUUUCUACAGUAAGCUGUUUAGCAUGUUUCUAGUGUAGCUUCUACUAACAUUUUUUCUUGUAAGACUAAUAGUGUUUCUACUAGAAGUUUAUCAAGAGGCUAGGAGCUAGUAUGCUAGAAAAAUCAGUGAAAAGCUCAACUUUAAGUUGAUUGUCCAAAAAAUGUAGCUUUGCAAGCAAUAUCUUUAUAUUUUCAGAGGGAGUUUUCCACUUUAAAAAUGCAUUUCCCUCAUCUUGAAAUUUCAAGUAAAAUAUUCAUAAAGCUACAUAAUUAUAAAAAGAAAAAUAGCCUGUAAAUUCUAAAGUAAUAUAUACUCCUAUCUCAUUAAAGGACAGAAAUCUAGCUUGGAUCUUGCAUGCUCUUCCUCAUUACAAGACUAUUUAUAUAAAAGUCAAAUAGCCAUUGGCUCUGCUUAUACUUACAGUUAUUGAAAACCGUAUAAAAUACUUCCCUCACAAUUUUAGCAUAUAUCUAACUUUUCAUUAUUUAUGACAUACAACAGCUCAACUCUCAAGGUCACACUCCAAAGAAGUCAAAUCUCCCCUCCCUUUUUUUGGAGGAGGGGGGCUAGAAGGGGGAGUUAUUUUACCUCAGAAUUUCAAUCAGCUGAGGAAAGAAUAUCAGAGAAUAUAUAGUGUAGGCAAUCAAGAACCUAAUAUAGUUUCAGCAAAUGCCUUCAAGGGUGGAAAGCUGCUGAGGAGCUUUUUAGCUAACACUUCAUUUUAAUGGCACAUUUAACUAAUGCCAAAUUUCAGUGGGGUUAUGAUAAGAGUCCAUAUGACAUGCAUAUAACUACCAAACAAAUUCAUUUUGACAGGUGUUAUUACAAAAAAUGCUAAAAGACAAAAGGACAAAUUUAAAUUCUUGUUUUUUAUUCCAAUGCCUGCUUUCCCCAUACACUGUAGUUCACUGUAGUAUUCAAUCCAGGAAAGAUUCCAUUCUAAGUAUGUCUAGUAAACCUAGUUUCUGAUCCCCUAAACUCUCGUUGACCGUGUCUACACGAAACUCUUUACUGCACAGUACACUAGUCAACUGCACAGUAAAGCAUCACCAUCUACAGAUGCAGGUGCUUACUGCACAAUAAAUUAAUCUACUGCGCUGUAAAGCCAAAUUGCAUUAAUUGCAUGUGUAGCUGUACCCACUGACUAGUGCACUGAUUUGAUUGGCACUAUUUGUAGACUGAGCUACUGCAAUUAAUCUGUAUUCUCAAAUGCAUUGCAGGGAUGAACCAAAUCUUAUUAAAAGAAAAAGCCUCAUAGAUGACUCUUUUCCCUUUGGUCCUUGCGUUACAUUGCUGUGACAUCUACAGCACUGCAAUAUGGAGAAAAAAUGUUAGGAAAGUAAUUAAAGUAUUUGAAUUGAUUUUUAGUAUAGUUUAUGUGCUGGAAAUUAGGUGAAGGAACAAAAAACAGAAGAAACAUCAGCUUUCUGAAGACCGUUAUUCUCAAGAGCUGUUUAAGAACCUUCAAUGCAUAUCCAAAAAUAAUAUGAAAAGAAAUAUAUAACAGCUUUUGUUUUUCAAAAAGUACAUUGCUUAAUGUUUACUGAGCUUAUGAGCCCUUUGGGGUAGAGACUGGUUUUUGUUCUUCUUUAUACAACUUUUAAUGCAACGGAGUCUUGGUCUGUGACUGGCAUUCUGAGGUGGCACUCCAGUACAAAUAAAGAAAAAAUAAUAUUUGGAAGGCCUAAACACUAAACAUUUUCACAGGAACUAGCCGUCAUGUUUAGUGUUGUUUCCAACAGUAGCUACUAAGUUCAGAAGAAUGUGCAAACAAUCUUGAAACAGGGAGAUAUGAGAUAACCUGCCCCAGCAUAAAGGUCUUGUCCUGACCCUAAUAGAGCAUUGAUUUUCAAUCAAGGUACUGGGGCAUCCUGGGGUGCCAUGAGAUCCUUUGAAGGAUGUGGCAUCAUCCAGCCUGGCUACUUGGCCACUGUCCUGACCCCAAUGUCUGGCCCUUCUGCAAGGAGGUAAGCACCAUAGUAUAUAAAUUCAUUUUUUAAAUGGGGUGCUGCUCAAUUCAUCAAAGUUAUGGAGGGGUUGC